rnacentral:rRNA from 1 species
AGGUUAAGUUAAUAAGGGCGCAUGGUGGAUGCCUUGGCACUAGAAGGCGAUGAAGGACGUGACUAACUACGAUAUGCCUCGGUUAGCUGUAAGUAAGCUUACCCGGGGGUUUCCGAAUGGGGCAACCCGAUCUUAAUGAUCAUCAUCUUUUUGAAUUCAUAGAUUAGAUGAAGCAAACGCUGUGAACUGAAACAUCUCAGUAGCAGUAGGAAAGUAAAGAAAUUUCGAUUCCGUCAGUAGCGGCGAGCGAACGCGGAAGAGCCCAAACCUGGAUGCUUGCAUCCAGGGGUUGUAGGACUGAUGUUGAGUUACAAAGGUAUAAGAUAGCAGAAACAGUUGGGAAGCUGUUCCAAAGAGGGUGACAGGCCCGUAUGCGAAAUCUUGUACUCUCUAAUCAGGAUCCUGAGUACGGCCCAGCACGUGAAAUUGGGUCGGAAUCUGGGAGGACCAUCUCCCAAGGCUAAAUACUAACUAGUGACCGAUAGCGAACAAGUACCGUGAGGGAAAGGUGAAAAGAACCCCGGAAGGGGAGUGAAAUAGUUCUUGAAACCGUGUGCUUACAAGAAGUUCGAGGCCGUUAAUGGCUGAGAGCGUGCUUUUUGUAGAAUGAACCGGAGAGUUACGAUUGCGUGCAAGGUUAAGGUGCAAAGACUGGAGCCGUAGCGAAAGCGAGUCUUAAUAGGGCGAAUCAGUACGUAGUUGUAGACCCGAAACCGAGUGACCUAUCCAUGGUCAGGUUGAAGGUGGGGUAAUACCUACUGGAGGACCGAACAAGUGGGUGUUAAAAAACCCUUUGAUGAACUGUGGAUAGCGGUGAAAUUCCAAUCGAACUCGGAGAUAGCUGGUUCUAUCCGAAAUACAUUUAGGUGUAGCCUUGCAAUUAGCUUACUGGAGGUAGAGCACUAUUUGGUCUAGGGGCCCUUCAAGGGUUACCAAAAUCAGAUAAACUCCGAAUGCCAGCUAAGUAUGUGCAGGAGUCAGACGGUGAGUGAUAAGAUCCAUCGUCGAAAGGGGAACAGCCCAGAUCACCAGUUAAGGUCCCUAAAUAUAUGCUAAGUGGAAAACGUUGUGAAGGUGCAUAGACAACUAGGAGGUUGGCUCAGAAGCAGCCACCCUUUAAAGAGUGCGUAAUAGCUCACUAGUCGAGUGCUCUUGCGCGGAUAAUGUACCGGGGCUAAGCAUAUUACCGAAACUGUGGAUGCGUAAGCAUGGUAGGAUAGCGUAAUUAACGCGAUGAAGGAUGACCGUAAGGACAUGUUGGAGCGUUAACUAGUGAGAAUUCCGGUAUGAGUAGCGAAAGAUAGGUGAGAAUCCUAUCCACCGAAUGAGUAAGGUUUCCCCCGGAAGGCUCGUCCGCGGGGGGUUAGUCGGGACCUAAGGCGAGGCUGAAAAGCGUAGUCGAUGGACAACAGGUUGAUAUUCCUGUACCGAUAUUUAAUUGCCGAAGGAAGGACGCAGAAGGAUAACACAGGCCACUAUUGGA